GACGAACGCUGGCGGCGUGCUUGACACAUGCAAGUCGAACGGAAAGGCCUGCUUUCCCUUGUGGAUUGCGGGUACUCGAGUGGCGAACGGGUGAGUAACACGUGAGUGAUCUGCCCCCAACUUGGGUAUAAGCCUGGGAAACUGGGUCUAAUUCCCGAUAGGACUGCAGGGUGGUGCCUGUGGUGGAAAACGAUUUUCUAGUGGUUGGGGAUGAGCUCGCGGCCUAUCAGCUUGUUGGGGGGGUAAUGGCCUACCAAGGCGGCGACGGGUAGCCGGCCUGAGAGGGUGGACGGCCACAUUGGGACUGAGAUACGGCCCAGACUCCUACGGGAGGCAGCAGUGGGGAAUAUUGCACAAUGGGCGGAAGCCUGAUGCAGCGACGCCGCGUGGGGGAUGACGGCCUUCGGGUUGUAAACUCCUUUCGACCGCGAGGAAGCCACCUGGUUGGAAGGGUGGUGACGGUAGUGGUAGAAGAAGCACCGGCUAACUACGU
rnacentral:rRNA from 1 species